rnacentral:tRNA from 1 species
AGCCCCGAGGUGUUUUACAUAUUAGAUUGCAAAUCUCAAGUGGCAGGUUAAUUUUUGCCGGGGCUU